rnacentral:rRNA from 1 species
CCUACGGGCGGCAGCAGUGGGGAAUAUUGGGCAAUGGAGGCAACUCUGACCCAGCAACGCCGCGUGAAUGAUGAAGGUCUUCGGAUUGUAAAGUUCUGUGAUGGGGGAUGAACACAAUGACGGUACCCCAAUAGCAAGCCAGGGCAAACUACGUGCCAGCAGCCGGGGUAAUACGUAGGUGGCAAGCGUUAUCCGGAAUGACGGGGCGUAAGGGGCGCGUAGGGGGUUUAGUAAGUUGGCGGUGAAAUCCCGGGGCUCAACCUCGGAGCUACAGGCAAAACUGUUAGGCUUGAGUGCAGGAGAGGUAAGUGGAAUUCCUAGUGUAGCGGUGGAAUGCGUAGAUAUUAGGAGGAACAUCAGGGGCGAAGGCGACUUACUGGACUGUAACUGACACUGAGGCACGAAAGCGUGGGGAGCAAACAUGAUUAGAUACCCGGGUAGUC